rnacentral:rRNA from 1 species
GACGAACGCUGGCGGCGUGCUUAACACAUGCAAGUCGAACGAAGAGCGAUGGAAGCUUGCUUCUAUCAAUCUUAGUGGCGAACGGGUGAGUAACGCGUAAUCAACCUGCCCUUCAGAGGGGGACAACAGUUGGAAACGACUGCUAAUACCGCAUACGAUCUAAUCUCGGCAUCGAGGAUAGAUGAAAGGUGGCCUCUACAUGUAAGCUAUCACUGAAGGAGGGGAUUGCGUUUGAUUAGCUAGUUGGAGGGGUAACGGCCCACCAAGGCGAUGAUCAGUAGCCGGUCUGAGAGGAUGAACGGCCACAUUGGGACUGAGACACGGCCCAGACUCCUACGGGAGGCAGCAGUGGGGAAUCUUCCGCAAUGGACGAAAGUCUGACGGAGCAACGCCGCGUGAGUGAUGACGGCCUUCGGGUUGUAAAGCUCUGUUAAUCGGGACGAAAGGCCUUCUUGCGAAUAGUGAGAAGGAUUGACGGUACCGGAAUAGAAAGCCACGGCUAACUACGUG